GUGUGAGUUUGAACCCAGUCUGGUCUACAGAGUGAAUUCCAGGACAGUCAGGGCUACACAGAGAAACAAAAAAAAAGAACCCCUAGAACUGGAGUUAGAGAUGCUCAGUCAACAUGUGGUACUGUGGUCUUGAGCUUUGGUCCUGUGCGUGAGUGUGUGUGUCCUGCCUGUUGUACACUUUUGGAAUAGAUGGUAUAGGGACCUAGGAGGGCCAGCCUGGCGGGCGUAUUUCACUUGCUUGGCAUAGUUUAUAUUUUUAACAUGAAAUCAAAUAAAAGCUGGCUGAUGUUCUGCUGUGUAUAUGUUGUUCUGAGUUACGAUGACCGUGAAGGGGCGGUUUUAAGAUAGACUUUGACGCAGUUCUGAGAAUCUCCUGCUAAGGAGAUGGUUGGUCCUUCUGAACCUGACCACCAUGGCUUACUGGAUUUUCUUAAUGCGUUUCCCUUUUGCAGGCUGACACUUGCUUGUGGUGGGAUAGCUCUGAAUUCCUUUGAUGACCUGAAUCCUGACUGUUUGGGACAUGCAGGGCUUGUCUAUGAGUAUACUCUGGGUGAGGAGAAGUUCACCUUUAUUGAGAAGUGUAACAAUCCCCGUUCUGUCACUUUACUGGUUAAAGGACCAAAUAAGCACACACUGACUCAAAUCAAGGAUGCAAUAAGAGAUGGCUUGAGGGCUGUCAAAAAUGCUAUUGAUGAUGG
ensembl:processed_transcript